AGCAGAUGGACCGGAGCCACAGCAUGCGAAGAGGACAGAGGAACAGGACGACGCCUGGGAUGGCGUUGAAAUUGCAGAUUACGGCGUCCUGCGGCUCAGCAACGAGCAGACUCGUCUUUUCUCCCUCUUCUCCACAGAUUCAGAUGAGGAGCUCCCAGCGAUUAAACAUGGCGAGGCAAUCACAGACAGACGCAGCACAUUCCAGCCUCAUUUGGCUGUUGUAGUGACACCUAAACAGGUUCAGAGGGUGCUAGACAAACUGUAUGAAAACAAGAAAAUUGCAAGUGCCACCCACAACAUAUACGCAUACAGGAUAUUCUGCGAAGACAAAAAGACAUUCCUCCAGGAUUGUGAGGACGACGGUGAGACUGCUGCUGGUGGGAGACUGCUUCAUCUACUGCAGAUUCUUGACGUGAGGAACGUGCUAGUGGUGGUGUCUCGGUGGUACGGCGGUAUCCUGCUCGGCCCUGACCGCUUCAAACACAUCAACAACUGCGCUCGGAACAUCCUCGUCCAAGAGGGAUUCACUGAAAAUUCGGAUGAUGCAGCAAAACCUGGGGGGAAGAGCAAGAAGCCCAAAAGCAAGAAGAUGAAGUGAAGCCAUGCGUUUGUCUACCUCAGAGUUUGUAUCGAGUCUCAGGAAAGUGUGUGUCACCAGGCAGGUGGGAGUGGAUAAGGAGAAAAACGCUUAACACAACCGAAGAAUACAUGCCAUUAAAGGAAUGUUGACUUGAGAUUUCAAAUAUUGCAUGUGAAAGUGAAUUCACAUAAUAUACAACCCAAAUUAAAAAAUUGUAAAAAAGUUGGUACACUGUGUAAAAUGUAAAAAAAAAAAAAAAAAACAGAAUGCAAUGAUUCUCAAAUCUCAUAAACCAAUAUUUUAUUCACAAUUAGAACAUAGAAAUGUUUAAACUGAGGGAAUGUACCAUUAUAAGGAAAAAAUAAGGUAAUUUUUAAUUUGAUGGCUCUAACACACCAAAUAUUUGGGAAAGGGUUGUUAUCAAAAUUAAAAGGUUGGAGAAACAUUUUGCAACUAAUGAGGUUAUUUAACCAAAGGUCAGUAAGCUGAUGGGGUAUAAAUAGUGUAUCUAGAAGAGGCAAAGUCUCUAAGGAUGGGCAGAGAUUCACCAUUCAUUUACAGUACAUAAUAAAAGUUUAAAAGAAUCUGGAGAAAUGUGGAUGAAAAUCUAAAUUGGAUGCCUGUGAUCUUUGCUUAUCCCUUCACUCGUUGGCUUAUUAACGCCUCCAAAAAAAAAAAAAAGUGUGCCAUGUUUUCCACAAAUGCAAAAUCUCUAUCCUGCAAAGAAGAAGGCAUGCGUGAACAUGGUCCAGAAAUGCCACUAUCCUCUCUGGGCCAAAGCUCAUUUAAAAUGUACUGAGGCAAAGUGGAAAACAGUUCUGUAGCCAGACGAAUCAAAAUUUAAUUUCUUUUUGGAAAUCAGAGCCAACACAUCCUCUGGAAUAAGGAGGAGAGGGACCUUCUGGCUUGUCAUCAGUGCUUAGUUCAAAAAGGAGUGGUAAACAUGGCCCUUUUUUGAGACCUGUUAAAGCCAUUCAAUUCCAAAUUACCUUAUGUUUUCCUUAAAAUUGUGUAAUUUCUCAGUUUAAACAUUACAUUUUUUUGUUCUAUUGUAAAAAGAAUAUCCAUUUAUGAGAUUUGCUAAUCAUUCCAUUCUGUUUUUGUUUACAACUUUUUCAUUUAUGAUUGUAUAUUGAAAUAAAAAUUAGAAAAUGAUUUUUUAUUGUUUUGUACAAUUCACAAGUGUAUGAAUUGGAAUUUGCAUACUGAUUGGCAAAUGAAGGCAUAAUUGUAUGUUAUGUGUCUGUUAGCAUGAAGCAUUGUGUGCGAGUGUGUUGGAGGGGGUGUUAAUGCUGGCAGCACGGCGAUGUGGUAAAGGCUCUGUUUCUCGUAAUCCUUUUAUAACAGAUAGUCACUGUCAUUAAAACAUUUUCAGCAAGCUUU